rnacentral:rRNA from 1 species
AACGAACGCUGGCGGCAGGCCUAACACAUGCAAGUCGAACGGAUGUAGCAAUACAUUAGUGGCGCACGGGAGAGUAACGCGUGGGAACCUACCUUUUGGUUCGGGAUAACGUCGGGAAACUGACGCUAAUACCGGAUACGCCCUUCGGGGGAAAGAUUUAUCGCCAUUAGAUGGGCCCGCGUUAGAUUAGCUUGUUGGUGAGGUAAUGGCUCACCAAGGCUACGAUCUAUAGCUGGUCUAAGAGGAUGAUCAGCCUCACUGGGACUGAGACACGGCCCAGACUCCUACGGGAGGCAGCAGUGGGGAAUAUUGGACAAUGGGGGCAACCCUGAUCCAGCCAUGCCGCGUGAAUGAUGAAGGCCUUCGGGUUGUAAAGUUCUUUUGGCGGGGACGAUGAUGACGGUACCCGCAGAAUAGGCUCCGGCUAACUUCGUGCCAGCCGCCGCCGUAA